GAUGAACGCUGGCGGCGUGCCUAAUACAUGCAAGCCGAGCGAACGGACGAGAAGCUUGCUUCUCUGAUGUUAGCGGCGGACGGGUGAGUAACACGUGGAUAACCUACCUAUAAGACUGGGAUAACUUCGGGAAACCGGAGCUAAUACCGGAUAAUAUUUUGAACCGCAUGGUUCAAAAGUGAAAGACGGUCUUGCUGUCACUUAUAGAUGGAUCCGCGCUGCAUUAGCUAGUUGGUAAGGUAACGGCUUACCAAGGCAACGAUGCAUAGCCGACCUGAGAGGGUGAUCGGCCACACUGGAACUGAGACACGGUCCAGACUCCUACGGGAGGCAGCAGUAGGGAAUCUUCCGCAAUGGGCGAAAGCCUGACGGAGCAACGCCGCGUGAGUGAUGAAGGUCUUCGGAUCGUAAAACUCUGUUAUUAGGGAAGAACAUAUGUGUAAGUAACUGUGCACAUCUUGACGGUACCUAAUCAGAAAGCCACGGCUAACUACGUGCCAGCAGCCGCGGUAAUACGUAGGUGGCAAGCGUUAUCCGGAAUUAUUGGGCGUAAAGCGCGCGUAGGCGGUUUUUUAAGUCUGAUGUGAAAGCCCACGGCUCAACCGUGGAGGGUCAUUGGAAACUGGAAAACUUGAGUGCAGAAGAGGAAAGUGGAAUUCCAUGUGUAGCGGUGAAAUGCGCAGAGAUAUGGAGGAACACCAGUGGCGAAGGCGACUUUCUGGUCUGUAACUGACGCUGAUGUGCGAAAGCGUGGGGAUCAAACAGGAUUAGAUACCCUGGUAGUCCACGCCGUAAACGAUGAGUGCUAAGUGUUAGGGGGUUUCCGCCCCUUAGUGCUGCAGCUAACGCAUUAAGCACUCCGCCUGGGGAGUACGACCGCAAGGUUGAAACUCAAAGGAAUUGACGGGGACCCGCACAAGCGGUGGAGCAUGUGGUUUAAUUCGAAGCAACGCGAAGAACCUUACCAAAUCUUGACAUCCUUUGACAACUCUAGAGAUAGAGCUUUCCCCUUCGGGGGACAAAGUGACAGGUGGUGCAUGGUUGUCGUCAGCUCGUGUCGUGAGAUGUUGGGUUAAGUCCCGCAACGAGCGCAACCCUUAAGCUUAGUUGCCAUCAUUAAGUUGGGCACUCUAAGUUGACUGCCGGUGACAAACCGGAGGAAGGUGGGGAUGACGUCAAAUCAUCAUGCCCCUUAUGAUUUGGGCUACACACGUGCUACAAUGGACAAUACAAAGGGCAGCGAAACCGUGAGGUCAAGCAAAUCCCAUAAAGUUGUUCUCAGUUCGGAUUGUAGUCUGCAACUCGACUACAUGAAGCUGGAAUCGCUAGUAAUCGUAGAUCAGCAUGCUACGGUGAAUACGUUCCCGGGUCU
rnacentral:rRNA from 1 species